rnacentral:rRNA from 1 species
UACGUAGGGGGCAAGCGUUGUCCGGAAUCAUUGGGCGUAAAGAGCGUGUAGGCGGUUCGGUAAGUCGGCUGUGAAAGUCCAGGGCUCAACCCUGGGAUGCCGGUCGAUACUGCCGGACUAGAGUUCGGAAGAGGCGAGUGGAAUUCCCGGUGUAGCGGUGAAAUGCGCAGAUAUCGGAAGGAACGCCGGUGGCGAAAGCGGUCCGCUGGGUCCCUACUGACGCUGAGGCGCGAAAGCCAGGGGAGCAAACGGG